GACAACAAAUUGGUAUCAGAGCUUAACUCUCUAGCUUUGUGUUUAAAUACCUUAAGAGGGUUCCUAUGGCAAAUGGAAAUGCAUACAUAUCCGUUUAGCUGAAGGCUAUUCCAUUACAAGAUCUCCAUUGUUCAAUGGAACUAACUAUUCCUUUUGGAAAGUUAGAAUUUAAACAUUAUUCAAUCUAUUGAUAUAAAUGCUUGGUUGAAUAUCUUGAAUGGUCCAUUUAUACCUUCUAAGAAAGUAGGAGAUGCACAAGUUAUUGAACUUGAAAGUGAAUAUGCUACAUAUACUCAACUCAACUCAACUAA
rnacentral:misc_RNA from 1 species